GACUCAUGGCCUAGUGGCUAACGCUCGCGUUUUGGAAUCUGGCUACCCGGGUUCGACCCCAGGUGGGGUCA